GAUGAACGCUGGCGGCGUGCCUAAUACAUGCAAGUCGAGCGAACGGACGGGAAUCUUUCUUCUCUGAUGUUAGCGACGGGCGGGUGAGUAACAGGUGUAUAACCUACCUAUAAGACUGGGAUCACUUCGCGGAACCGGAUCUAAUAUCGGAUGAGAUUUUGAACCGCAUGGUUCAACAGUGAAAGACGGUCUUGCUGUCACUUAUAGAUGGAUCCGCGCUGCAUUAGCUAGUUGGUAAGGUAACGGCUUACCAAGGCAACGAUGCAUAGCCGAACUGAGAGGGUGAUCAGCCACACUGGAACUGAGACACGGUCCAGACUCCUACGGGAGGCAGCAGUAGGGAAUAUUCCGCAAUGGGCGAAAGCCUGACGGAGCAACGCCGCGUGAGUGAUGAAGGUCUUCGGAUCGUAAAGCUCUGUUAUUAGGGAAGAACAUAUGUGUAAGUAUCUGUGCACAUCUUGACGGUACCUAAACAGAAAGCCACGGCUAACUACGUG
rnacentral:rRNA from 1 species